rnacentral:rRNA from 1 species
UAAGCGGAGGAAAAGAAACCAACAGGGAUUGCCUCAGUAACGGCGAGUGAAGCGGCAACAGCUCAAAUUUGAAAUCUGGCCUCUUUGGGGUCCGAGUUGUAAUUUGUAGAGGAUGUUUCGGGUACCGCCUCGGCCUAAAUUUCUUGGAACAGAAUGUCAAAGAGGGUGAGAAUCCCGUCUUGGACCGGCGGUAGGGCCCAUGUGAAACUCCUUCGACGAGUCGAGUUGUUUGGGAAUGCAGCUCAAAAUGGGUGGUAAAUUUCAUCUAAAGCUAAAUAUUGGCCAGAGACCGAUAGCGCACAAGUAGAGUGAUCGAAAGAUGAAAAGCACUUUGAAAAGAGAGUUAAACAGUAUGUGAAAUUGUUGAAAGGGAAGCGCUUGCAACCAGACUUGUGCUCGGCGGUUCCCCCUUCCUUUUGGUUGGGUUACUCCGUCGUGUCCAGGCCAACAUCGGUUCUGGGGGUCGGUUAAAGGCCUUGGGAAUGUACCUACCCUUCGGGCGUAGACUUAUAGCCCUUGGUGUCAUGCGGCCUCCCGGGACCGAGGAACGCGCUUCGGCUCGGAUGUUGGCGUAAUGGUUGUCAGCGACCCGU